rnacentral:rRNA from 1 species
AACGAACGCUGGCGGCAGGCCUAACACAUGCAAGUCGAGCGAAGCCUUCGGGCUUAGCGGCGGACGGGUGAGUAACGCGUGGGAACGUGCCCUUUGGUACGGAAUAGCCCCGGGAAACUGGGAGUAAUACCGUAUGUGGUCGAGAGACGAAAGAUUUAUCGCCAAAGGAUCGGCCCGCGUUGGAUUAGGUAGUUGGUGGGGUAAUGGCCUACCAAGCCGACGAUCCAUAGCUGGUUUGAGAGGAUGAUCAGCCACACUGGGACGGGGACACGGCCCAGACUCCUCCGGGAGGCAGCAGUGGGGAAUCUUAGACAAUGGGGAAAACCCUGAUCUAGCCAUGCCGCGUGAUCGAUGAAGGCCUUAGGGUUGUAAAGAUCUUUCAGUGGGGAAGAUAAUGACUGUACCCACAGAAGAAGCCCCGGCUAACUCCGUGCCAGCCGCCGCCGUAACAC